AACGAACGCUGGCGGCAUGCCUAACACAUGCAAGUCGAACGAGACCUUCGGGUCUAGUGGCGCACGGGUGCGUAACGCGUGGGAACCUGCCCUUAGGUUCGGAAUAACUCCCCGAAAGGGGUGCUAAUACCGGAUAAUGUCUUCGGACCAAAGAUUUAUCGCCUUUGGAUGGGCCCGCGUUGGAUUAGCUAGUUGGUAGGGUAAAAGCCUACCAAGGCGACGAUCCAUAGCUGGUCUGAGAGGAUGAUCAGCCACACUGGGACUGAGACACGGCCCAGACUCCUACGGGAGGCAGCCGUGGGGAAUAUUGGACAAUGGGCGAAAGCCUGAUCCAGCAAUGCCGCGUGAGUGAUGAAGGCCUUAGGGUUGUAAAGCUCUUUUACCCGGGAUGAUAAUGACAGUACCGGGAGAAUAAGCUCCGGCUAACUCCGUG
rnacentral:rRNA from 1 species